rnacentral:rRNA from 1 species
CUCCCGCGGUAAUUUAAGCAUAUUACUAAGCGGAGGAAAAGAAACUAACUAGGAUUCCCUCAGUAGCUGCGAGCGAACAGGGAUAAGCCCAGCACCGAAUCCCGCGGCCCGUACGGGACGCCGGGAAAUGUGGUGUUAGGGAGGAUUCGUUAUCCCGGAGUCAUGCGGUGCGUCCAAGUCCUUCUUGAACGGGGCCACAGCCCAUAGAGGGUGCCAGGCCCGUAGCGACUGCUGCUGAUCACGGGAGAAUCUCUCCUCAGAGUCGGGUUGCUUGAGAGUGCAGCCCUAAGUGGGUGGUAAACUCCAUCUAAGGCUAAAUAUGACCACGAGACCGAUAGCGAACAAGUACCGUGAGGGAAAGUUGAAAAGCACUUUGAAGAGAGAGUUCAAGAGUACGUGAAACCGUUCAGGGGUAAACCUGAGAAACCCGAAAGGUCGAACUGGAAAUUCAUUCGCGUUUCGUCGCGAGCUGCGGACGGUCGUGCGACGGGUGGCGCGUUCGCGCGUCGCCCGCUCCUUUCGUCCGUUCAGAUCUCGCAGCGAACGCGUGCAUUUUUCCACAGUAGGACGUCGCGAUCCGUUGGGUGUCGGUCUACGGCCCUCGGUGGAGCCCGUGCGGACGGUUCGCCGUACCGAACGGACCCGAGGUGAUACCCGGCCGACUCGCUCGACGGUAUUCAGAUGGCGCGGAGCCGCGACUUCGGUUCGCGUCCGGCCCGCGACAAGCGCGUUCGGUGUGCCGGAGUUUUUACGGACCUAGUGCCGUACCUGGCUCCGGACGACUGUUGGUCGCGGUGUUCUCGGACAGACUCCGUCAAAGUAAACGCCGAUCUGCGACGCUAUAGCUUUGGGUACUUUCAGGACCCGUCUUGAAACACGGACCAAGGAGUCUAGCAUGUGCGCGAGUCAUUGGGACAUUACUAAACCUAAAGGCGCAAUGAAAGUGAAGGUUCGCCUCGCGCGAACCGAGGGAGGAUGGGCGGAUUUCAUCCUAACCGGUGGCCGCCCCGCACUCCCGGGGCGUCUCGUUCUCAUCGCGAGAAGAGGCGCACCAAGAGCGUACACGCUGGGACCCGAAAGAUGGUGAACUAUGCCUGGUCAGGACGAAGUCAGGGGAAACCCUGAUGGAGGUCCGUAGCGAUUCUGACGUGCAAAUCGAUCGUCGGAACUGGGUAUAGGGGCGAAAGACUAAUCGAACCAUCUAGUAGCUGGUUCCCUCCGAAGUUUCCCUCAGGAUAGCUGGCGCUCGUAGCGUACGAGUCUCAUCCGGUAAAGCGAAUGAUUAGAGGCAUUGGGGUCGAAACGACCUCAACCUAUUCUCAAACUUUAAAUGGGUGAGAUCUCCGGCUUGCUUGAACGCAUGAAGCCGCGAGAACUGACAAUUGUUGAUGCGGUGUUGGUUUACGUACAUACAUAAAGCACACACCCGUCGGGCGAAAGGGAAUCCGGUUCCUAUUCCGGAACCCGGCAGCGGAACCGCUUAUAAUUCGGGCCCUCAUUUCGCAUGAGAGUUCGUCGGGGUAACCCAAAAGGACCCGGAGACGCCGUCGGGAGAUCCGGGAAGAGUUUUCUUUUCUGCAUGAGCGUUCGAGUUCCAUGGAAUCCUUUAGCAGGGAGAUAUGGUUUGGAACGCGAAGAGCACCGCAGUUGCAGCGGUGUCCGGAUCUUCCCCUCGGACCUUGAAAAUCCGGGAGAGGGCCACGUGGAGGCAUCGCGCCGGUUCGUACCCAUAUCCGCAGCAGGUCUCCAAGG